AUCUAGUUGACGGGUCUUAAAAAGGACGAAAGGCGUGUCCUGGAU
rnacentral:hammerhead_ribozyme from 1 species